GACGAACGCUGGCGGCGUGCUUAACACAUGCAAGUCGAACGGAAAGGCCCUGCUUUUGUGGGGUGCUCGAGUGGCGAACGGGUGAGUAACACGUGAGUAACCUGCCCUUGACUUUGGGAUAACUUCAGGGAACUGGGGCUAAUACCGGAUAGGAGCUCCUGCUGCAUGGUGGGGGUUGGAAAGUUUCGGCGGUUGGGGAUGGACUCGCGGCUUAUCAGCUUGUUGGUGGGGUAGUGGCUUACCAGGCUUUGACGGGUAGCCGGCCUGAGAGGGUGACCGGCCACAUUGGGACUGAGAUACGGCCCAGACUCCUACGGGAGGCAGCAGUGGGGAAUAUUGCACAAUGGGCGGAAGCCUGAUGCAGCAACGCCGCGUGCGGGAUGACGGCCUUCGGGUUGUAAACCGCUUUCGCCUGUGACGAAGCGUGAGUGACGGUAAUGGGUAAAGAAGCACCGGCUAACUACGUG
rnacentral:rRNA from 1 species